rnacentral:rRNA from 1 species
GACGAACGCUGGCGGCGUGCCUAAUACAUGCAAGUAGAACGCUGAAGGAGGAGCUUGCUUCUCUGGAUGAGUUGCGAACGGGUGAGUAACGCGUAGGUAACCUGCCUGGUAGCGGGGGAUAACUAUUGGAAACGAUAGCUAAUACCGCAUAAGAGUAGAUGUCGCAUGACAUUUGCUUAAAAGGUGCAAUUGCAUCACUACCAGAUGGACCUGCGUUGUAUUAGCUAGUUGGUGAGGUAACGGCUCACCAAGGCAACGAUACAUAGCCGACCUGAGAGGGUGAUCGGCCACACUGGGACAGAGACACGGCCCAGACUCCUACGGGAGGCAGCAGUAGGGAAUCUUCGGCAAUGGACGGAAGUCUGACCGAGCAACGCCGCGUGAGUGAAGAAGGUUUUCGGAUCGUAAAGCUCGGUUGUAAGAGAAGAACGAGUGUGAGAGUGGAAAGUUCACACUGUGACGGUAUCUUACCAGAAAGGGACGGCUAACUACGUG